CAACAGGGAUUGCCUUAGUAACGGCGAGUGAAGCGGCAAAAGCUCAAAUUUGAAAUCUGGCACCUUCGGUGUCCGAGUUGUAAUUUGAAGAAGGUAACUUUGGAGUUGGCUCUUGUCUAUGUUCCUUGGAACAGGACGUCACAGAGGGUGAGAAUCCCGUGCGAUGAGAUGCCCAAUUCUAUGUAAAGUGCUUUCGAAGAGUCGAGUUGUUUGGGAAUGCAGCUCUAAGUGGGUGGUAAAUUCCAUCUAAAGCUAAAUAUUGGCGAGAGACCGAUAGCGAACAAGUACAGUGAUGGAAAGAUGAAAAGAACUUUGAAAAGAGAGUGAAAAAGUACGUGAAAUUGUUGAAAGGGAAGGGCUUGAGAUCAGACUUGGUAUUUUGCGAUCCUUUCCUUCUUGGUUGGGUUCCUCGCAGCUUACUGGGCCAGCAUCGGUUUGGAUGGUAGGAUAAUGACUAAGGAAUGUGGCUCUACUUCGGUGGAGUGUUAUAGCCUUGGUUGAUACUGCCUGUCUAGACCGAGGACUGCGU
rnacentral:rRNA from 1 species